ensembl:lncRNA
GCUAUACUUUAGCAUUACGUGUCAGAAAGGUAAAAGUAACCUUUGAGAUGUUCUAGAACAAGGCAGAAAAAAACACAAGGACACAUUCGUUCCUUGUAUUCAGUUUUGAGGGUCUUGCUGCGUCAGUUUGUCUUGUUUAGCAAAAUGAAGAGGUAAUGAUACCAAUAAGUGAUUUCUUUUCCUUCUUCUCAUCCACCUUCUUUAUAAAGCGAGUAUUUGUAAGAGAAAUGUCUCCCCAGUUCCCUAUUAAAUUGUAAAGCAUAUAUGAUCUAGUGAGAGAAGCCAACUACAGAGUCUAAGACAGUGGAGCAUCCCUUAACUAAUCCUUUGGUGGAAGAAGGUGGUAAUGGCAGAAAAGGUCCCUUUGAAACUCAGUAAAUGCAAUAUCAGGGAGUAAUUCCACAGUCACCCUGGUGUUAAUUCAGACUCCAACUCUCAUCUGGGUCUGCUUUGGCUCCCACAGUGUUUAUCUUCAUCCAUUGGCUGCCACUCUGAUGCUACCCUACCCCACUCUGAUGUCCUGGACACUCUCCUUUUUCUGUGGCCUCUGCCACCAUGCCUGUCCCCAGUCACUCUCCUAAAAUUCCAGUCCUGGCUGUUCCUCUCUCCUAUAAUUCAGGCUCUUGGGGCAUAGUUUUUUGGCUCUGUCCUGACUGCAGCAUCAAACAUAAUGUGGUUUAGCGGGUACCCAACCCUGAUGAAUUAAUAUUCAGAUGGGUUAGUGAGUGGAGGCCAAAGCCAAACCAGACAACCAACAGGAGCCAAAUACAUACUGGAAAACCAACAUAGUGGGUGCCGAAGGAUGGAAGGGGUUCCGCAGGGAAUCACAGUCCUCGACCCCCAGGAGGCAGUGCUUGCUGGUUAGGAUUUUCUUGGUGCACAGCAUCAAAGCACUUAGUAGGAGUGGGGACCCUUAAACACUGUGCAGAGGACUUAGUGGAGCUGAGCCUGGGAAGGGAGAUUGGGUCAGAGCAGGUGUCCUGGAAUGGCUUGUUUGGUAGAGUUCAGAUGAAUGUCUGUUGCAGGGGAUGAGCUGUUGGGUCUGGCUGGCUUCCACCAUCAAUCAUUGCCCGACCUUAAGCAAGCCCCUGGGUCUCUUUCUUCAUCUGCAAUGUGACAAGAUAACUCGUGUUGUAAAGAGACUGAAAAGGAAAGGGAGUUUGGCUGUGAAAUCAGUAAGGAUGCCUUUUGAUUAGCUGCUUCCUGACUGAGUGUGGCCUGCAGUAGGCAAUGGGUGGAUGCAUAGAUGGAUGGAUGCAUGUCUUGCUGGAUGCACGGAUGUUGGAUUCAUGGAUGGAUGGAUGGAUGCAUGGCUGGCUGGCUGGAUGCAUGAUGGAUGGAUGCACAGAUGGAUGGAUGGAUGCAUGCAUAGAUGGAUGAAUGCAUGGCUUGCUGGAUGCAUGCUGGAUGGAUGCAUUGAUGGAUGGAUGGAUAGAUGGAUGCAUAGAUGGAUGGAUGCAUGGAUGUUGGAUGCAUGGAUAGAUAGAUGGAUGCCUAGAUGGAUGGAUGCAUGGCUUCCUAGAUGCAUGGAUGGUUGGAUGGAUGGAUGGAUGGAUGGAUGCAUGGAUGCUAAUAUGAUGUAUGGAUGUGAAAGCCAUUCAGACACAAAAUAAAAACUGAGGGUAUAGGAAUGAGCAAGUCAAUUUUGUUCCUUGUCCCAGAACUCUCAAAAGAGUUUGGACUGGAGAAGCUUUACAACCUUAACACUUUUAAAUACACUGUUUUAAUGUUAUUUGUUGAGAAUUUCAUACAUUGAUACAGUAUAUUUCAGUAUAUCCACUUCACCCACUGUGUUUGUUCUAAUAAUCCCUUGAUACAGCGAAGCCUACUCAUGAGUGAGGGGCCACCACUGCAGCGUGGUCCACUCACUAGGGAUCAUACCCCUAAAGAAAACCCUCCCCUAGCAGUUCUCAAGUGACAGAAUCUUCUCAGCUGAAGGCAGGGGCUUCAGUGCCCUACCACAUCCGUGCUGGAAUGUUGAGUGGUUUGCUCUUCUGCUGGACACCAACUGCACUGAGUUUGUGAGUUCAACGACCAUAUCAUGAGAACAUGUCAUUGUUUUGAUCCAACUCCUUCCGACCUUUGGCUCUUAAAAUCUUUCCACCUCUUUUCUUUCCAAUAUUCCCUGAGCCUUGAGGGAACUUGAUACGGUGGGAGCUUCUGUGGCUGAGUUCUCCACAGAGAGUUCAUUCUCAAUACUCGGACUAGUUAUGAAUGUGUAUUACCUACCAUCCACUGUAUGAAGAUGCUCCCCCAAUGACCACCGAGAGCUGUGUUAAUCUAUGAGCUUGUAACUGGUAUUGUUUGAUACUAUAUAUCCAUUUAAGAAAAUAGUAGUUAUGGUUCACUCCCAGGGCUUAUGAGCCUGUCUGCCAUGGUUUUCCUGACCAGAUUUACAAUGCCAGGCAAAAGUUUCCUCUUGUAGUGCAGACCUUAAAUCCACCCAGAAAAUGAUUGGUGAUCCUCAUUACAUUCCUGCCAUUUAUGGCGCACCCAUGAGUACAUCUUGCCAGGGCUUUUGUUAUAUAGCCCUGAGUAGUCACAGUGGAGUGAGAAUAGUCUGCGUAGCAUCUUCUAGCAUUAUAAAGGGUAGCUAGCAGGGGUGGAAGUUUCCUGCUAAGUACUGUGCAGGCAGGUCUGUGUGAUUUCUUCAAGUUCUUUGACCUACUUGUGUGGUGUCAUCAGCUAUAGGAUCUUACCAUCACAUUCUGAUGGGUAGCCCUGAGCAAUGAGAAUUGACAACUCUGGUAUCAUCUCUGUGACAUCCUCGACCAACAACUUGAGAGCAAGGUGUCCUACAUCUGGCUCUGGACUUUUUGAGAACUUGUAGCCAAUGGAAGGAGAAUUACCCACCUUGUAACGUUCGUUCUGAACACUUUCCAGGCCGUUCUGGCAUCCGAUGAAUGUGAUUCCUAUGCCCUCUUUCUCUAUCCUGCCAAUGGUCUUCAGUUUUUGGAACUCACCCCAAAGAAUCCUACAGUGUCCAGCUGCAGCUUCCUGCUAAGGUGGGAUUCUGCCAAGGGGAAGCAGAUGACGUGAAGAGAAAAGCCCUGUAUUUCAGCCUGACUAACAGUGAGCAGAUAUGGAGACUUCGAUGAUUUUAAUCUGGAGGAUGCACUGAAAGAAACUUCCUCAGUAAAGCGUGACUCAAACAAACAAGUCCACCAAGCAAACACAAGUGGUCGGCCAUGCACCACACUGACAAUCUUGCCUUCAGAAAAGUACACGCAUAUGAGACUAGCUGUGCCUCCAUCUACCUGUUUGUUCUGUUGUGCAAGGCUUGUGUCGUUUUGUCAUACGUGUGUCAUCUUCCUUUUACAUUUAGAAAAUUUCACAAUUUUCAUUAUGUUGAAACCACAAGAGAACAUGCAUCUGCCUUCGCCUUUUUUCUGCUGUACAAAAAGAGAACCCCGACCCGUUUCAUUCCUCUCACUGUUUUGUUUUGAGACAGGGUCUCUUGAUUUAGCCCGAGUUGUCCUGAAAUUCUCUGUGCCGACAAGGCCGGCUUUGACUUGGGUCCAGUGCUAGAGCAACAGUGACUCUUGGCCACUGAUGUGCAUUUCUAGCUUCAGAACCCAUGACUUUUUAUGAUUCUUCAGUGUGAUCCCCACAAUGGCCUCGGGGACCUAUACUGAGACCAUUCUCACGAUGUGACUUCU